AAGGAAUUGACGGGGAGCACCACAACGGUGGAGCUUGCGGUUUAAUUUGGAUUCAAACGCCCGGAAAUCUUACCGGGACCGACAGCAAUAUGAAGGCCAGGCUGAAGACUUUGCCGGAUUAGCUGAGAGGUGGUGCAUGGCCGUCGUCAGUUCGUACUGUGAAGCAUCCUGUUAAGUCAGGCAACGAGCGAGACCCACGCCCACAGUUGCCAGCGUACUCUCUGGAGUGACGGGUACACUGUGGGGACCGCCGCUGCUAAAGCGGAGGAAGGAAUGGGCAACGGUAGGUCAGUAUGCCCCGAAUAUCCCGGGCUACACGCGAGCUACAAUGGUUGGUACAAUGGGUAUCUACCCCGAAAGGGGACGGGAAUCUCCUAAAACCAAUCUUAGUUCGGAUUGAGGGCUGCAACUCGCCCUCAUGAAGCUGGAAUCCGUAGUAAUCGCGUUUCAACAGAACGCGGUGAAUACGUCCCUGCUCCUU
rnacentral:rRNA from 1 species